ACCACAACCCAUCACAGUUCUUCGACUACCGGAGAAACCAGCCAGCGCCGAUCUUCCAACGCUUGUUCUUCGACACAACGGGGAGCUUCUUCCGUCCAAAAUAAAUCGUCCGUUCCCAACGAUGAUUGAGCCGCCAGGAGACGUGCCGCCUUGUUGCCGGAACGGGGAGUGAAAGAAAAGAAACAUGAACGGAAAGAGUUUGUUCUUCCCUUCACCUCACAAAUCAAGGUACUAAUUUCUGAAUAAUAUGCUUUCGUCGAUUUCAGCUUGUCAAUGACCGUUUUGAGUCACCUUCUACCACUAUAUCAAAAAAACCCAAGUCGGUUGCAAGCAAAACGGCAUGGAACGCCGCCAUAGCCUCGGCCAUAAAAACAGAGGUAACUCUCUCGAUCAGUCUCUUACUUGCUUACAUUAAAAACCCCAAAUGAUUCCUAAUGACCACUCCUGUCCAUGCAUGUUGAUGGAAAUGAAUGAGACGAGCGUCAAAAUUAAUCUUCACCGCCGGUUAACACAGUGCUUUCCAACUAAUUGAAGGAGGCUGCUGUGGUCCGUAUAUAAUUGAUGUAGCCAUCGAAAAGUCAAAACAUUGUGUCUUUAUCAAGAGAACAACCUAGCAGAAGAGGCAGAACUAGCAAUGGCAUUCACAACAGUUUCAUCAAACGUAUUUGUCAUGAAGAGCAGAAGACAAACAGUAGACAAAUCACAGGUUUGCAACCAGAAAA